UGUUAAUUCUCUAAAGCCCUUUUAUUCCAGAGAAUUAAAGGUUUUUCAGUUUACAGCCCAGGGAGGAGAUGACACUAAGUGGCCUGCAGGUGUCCAUUACAAAGAAAAAAGUGACAGCGGCGUGGAAGAGGUGAAUCUCUCAAUGACCCUCUGAUGUAUGCAGCGCCAGCAGAUCCAGGAGCUGUGCACUAGCUUUGCACCAAUGUUCUCAGUCACCCCAGGGCAGAUCAAACGGGCAUACCACUCCAUUAAUACAGGUAAUGCUCACCCAAUUAGAGCCCAACCAUACUGGGUGGCUCCUCAAACCAAAACUGCUAUAGAAUGGGAAACCCAGGACAUGUUACAGAUGGAUGUAAUCCGCCCCUCUAACAGUGCAUGGGCAUCUCCAGUGGUUCUAGUUCCCAAACCAGAUGGGGAAAUACGUUUUUGCACGGACUACCGUAAGCUAAAUGCUGUGACUUUCCCAAACAACUAUCCAAUGUCACGCACAAAUAAGCUAUUGGAGAAAUGGGGACAUGCCCAGUUCAUCUCUACCUUAAACUUAACCAAGGGGUACUGGCAAGUACCGCUAAAUGAAUCUGCCACGGAAAGGUCCGCCUUCAUCACCCAUGUAGGGCUGUAUGAAUUUAAUGUGCUCCCUUUCAGGCUGCAAAAUGCACCUACCACCUUCCAAAAACUUGUAGAUAGUUUCCUAGCGAAAUUGGGAAAAUAUGCAGUUGCCUAUCUUGACGACGCUGCCAUCUUUUCUGACUCAUGGGCAGAACACCUGGAGCAUCUCCGAAAAGUCUUUGAGCGCAUAAGGGAGGCAGAACUAACUGUUAAGGCUAAAAAGUGUCAAAUAGGCCUAAACAAAGUAACUUACCUUGAACACCACAAAGAAAAGGAGUACUUGUGGCACCUUAGAGA